GGAGGAAGCAGGGACCGUAAGUCCAUAAUCUGUCUCUGCGCUUGAACUCCUUAUCCCUGCAGAAACUUCUAGAAGCAUCAUCCACGGGCCGGAAGCCCCAUGGAUGGCGCGGCCUCUACGAAGGCGGCGGCGGCGGAGGAGGAACCCUCCGGCGACGCCGUCGAUCUCGACUCUAGCGUGCCCGCCGCCUCUGCAUUGCCCGAUCCUGGGGGAGACGUGUACGUCGUUUUGUUGGUGAAGGCGUCGCUCAAGCUGCUUGGGAAGGAUCUUCCUCCUCAAGUCCGGCACUAUGGCUUCGAGAUGAUGCAGGGUCCGCCAAUUAACUUUUUGGAUGGUCGUGGUCGAGAGCAUGAUCAACAGGGUAAGUAUAAAGUAACACCGGACUAUCGAGAAGAGGCCGAGCUACUUCGCUGGGAGCAUAAUCUCCUGUCUGAAGCAUUUGUCAGUGUGACGACCUGUCCUGGGUACAAUGGAAAUAACAUCCUUUUACACUCCCAUGUUGUCACAUUAAGUGCACUAAUAAAGUUCAGUACUGCAGAUCAUGAUGCAAAACAUAUUUUAUGCCUUUUGUCUGCUAGGAUUGAAUGUAAGGAGGAGUUGCUUUUGUCUCUACUGAAACCUUUGAACAAAAUUUGGACCCAGCCAGAGUGGAACGAAGAAUACAUGCAUUAUACAUAUCGUCUAACUGGUCUUCUUUGCAAUGAUCAAUUUAGGGAGACAAUAUGUUUGUUGGUAAAGUCAUUUGAGGAGGAGAUCAAAGGAAGCAAAAUUGAACAUUCUACGGGAACACAGGAAAAAUGCCGUCCAACAUCAACUACCAAUUAUCCGUGCUCAUCUACCUUUCCACAACUAAUGCUUGCCCUGCUCUUACGGAUCCUUCAUUUUAUACACAUGGCUUGGAUGGAUCGGUCUGAGUGCUAUGAUCUGCCAGAAAUUAUUUGGAGAGCUAGACUCAUUAGUACCAAUGAGAUAUCCACUUUUCUGAAGGAGAAUAAUACUUUACCUGCCAAUGAUGGAGUUGAUGUUCGUAGGAUGAAUGCUAUUGGAACAUGGUUACGUGAAAUUCGAGAAACUGGGUAUAAUAUCAUAGGCUUGUACGCGUCUGUUGAAAGAUCAAUUUUUGGAUUGGACUGUUCUCUUUCCAUAAAUACUCUUGCAAUGGAUAUAAGCUCCAUGGAAUUUGAUCAUGUGGGGAAACUCAUACAGCUCAGCUUCAUUCCAUUAGUCAGGUGUUGCCCUCGAGGAUGUUGGGACAAAUGGGUGUUGUUGUUGUUGGAAUCUUUAUUUUUCUACUGUAAAGAUAUCUUUGGUUAUGCGUGGCUCAGUCUUAUACACGAGGGACGCGCUGAAGUACCAGCUUACUUUGGCAAUCUUUAUGGACCUGAAGAAAAAGUCAAGAAAUUAGAAGUGGAGCUGCUGCUUAAAUUCACUCGUUCUGUAUCUUAUUUGCUCGGGGUUUUAGCAUCAGAAGAAUUUAAUAGCGGCCUUCCGCAGUUGAAUUGCCCAAAAUCUGACUUGAAAUCCAUAUCUUCCAGCUCCCUUAUGGGGUAUCUUUUACUUCACAAUUGCUUUGGGAGGUUUAGCAUGUACUCCUUGUUUGGGUCUUUGGUGGAUUAUCAAGCAGCUAAGGAAGCACUACCCUUUUGUCAUGCAUUGAUCCGCCUUGCCGUUGCUACUGAUGAUGAGAGACUGAAACAGUUUAUUCUUAAUGAAAUGCUUCCAACUCUUGUCCGGUUUGAUGAUAGGAGUCCCCCAAGUGGAAUCUCAUGGUUAAGAUCGGAGUUAAGUUCAAGCAUAGAAGUGAGUUCUAUGAAGGAUGUUGUUGGCCUUUGUCGGGAAAUAUACGACGUUUACUUGCACAAUCAGGCAAGUUAAGAAUGUAUCACUUUCUUUCUAUUGUAUACUAGUAAUUUUUUGUGAUCUCAAGGGUUCUAGCCAUAUGCCACUAAUGUUACGGAAAUUUCUUUUGUGUUCUGUUUUCGUAAAUAGCAGGAAUUCUGUGUGCUAAUUGGUAAUUGCUUUCUGCCAAAGAUACCUCUCUCCAGUCUUUAGAAUUUGGUGGCUGUAAGGUCUACUCUUGAUAAUGGCAUGACAUGGCUGCUUGUGGAUUCAUUGUUAUCUAGCUAAGUACUGGCUGCUGAUGGACCAAUUCUUUUAGAUGGUUCUGAGUAAACCGCAUAUUGACAUUUCCGUGAUUGUUUUACUUUCAAGUCCAAAAUCUAAUGAUGUCUUAGUGAUCACGUGCACAAUAAUCCACGAGCAACAUAGCGAGUCCUCCUGGAUUUUCCAUUUAGCUUCAUAUAGUAUGAUGUGAGCUGUGAGAUAUUUCUGUAAAGUUAACAUAAAUCACAAGUUCACAACCAUAUAGCUAUUUGUGUUGCUUUGGUAUACUGGCAUUAACCUUUUCUUUUCCAAGCAAAGCUCAGGUCAGUCAAACACUGUAAUAAAUUCUGCUAUGACGUAUGUUUGACCUGAUUACUAUUAUGAAGGGUGAACAGCAGAACAGAAAGACGUGUUCGGAUGGACUCAGUGAUUGGUUUGAAAAGGAAUAGGAGGAUCUUCGUAUACGCGCGUCUUUGCCUGCUCCAAAUGAUUUUCCAAAGUACCUUGUGUGGAAUUGGGAGUUCAAUGAAGAAUUUGACAGAUAUUUUCCUACCUAUAUGGAAAUGUUGCAUGAGGUGGAUACAAUGUAUGACUGUCUGGAGGUAAAUUUUUGCUCCAUCAUGUGAUAUUCAUUUAUUAAGCACAUACUCUCCAAUGCUGAAUAAAAUGCUUAGUUGUGUGACAAUGUAGUCAAGGAAACAUGUUUUCUGGUGUCCAUACACAUGUUUUGUUUGCCUUCUAUGACUACCUAAUUGUACAUCAUUAACUUGCCUAGGCAUGUAUAGAUAAUUUACAAUAUUAUGUUGUGGGGUCGUCGCAUCCUUAGUGGCGCGCUACAUCAACGCCUGGGCGUAGUGAAAAAAAUGAGCAAGGGUCUUCACAUUUAACUCGACGAAUGCGAAGGGUAAGGAAACUAGCCGAGCCUAAGAGGAUUCACUUAGUUAGCUGGAAUGUAGGGACCGUGACAGGUAAGCUUCGGGAGCUAGCUAGUUGAUACAGUGGUGAGGAGAGGUAUUGAUAUCCUUUAUGCCCAAGAAACCAAAUGAAGGGGACAAAAGGCAAAGGAGGCAAUAAGGGUGUGUUUGGUUCACGCCCCAGCUAGCCACACCAAUCUUUUGGCAUGACCAAAGCAAAGGCAUGACCAAAAUUUUGGCAAGCUGAUGUUGUUUGGUUUGGGGCCAUGGUAUCCUCCAAAUUUUGGCAAAAGAGGCCUUUGCUUGGUUUGUGACCAACUGGUACCAUGAUUAUACUACUUGAAAA